GAUUAAAUGCUUCACAACAUCACCUGCAAUAUCAAAUGUAAGAAGCGAUACAUAUGAACAAACUGAUGCAGAUGCGAUAAUGCAUUAUGAUAGGACACCAAAAGGAAUGAAACGGUACUAGGAAACAUUUCCAUCAAGCCCAGUUGCAUCUUCCUGUUGUAUGUUCUAACUGAGAAAUGUCCAAACAACUACUGUAUUUAUCUUGAUGCUACUAUUUCCCAUUCAGUCCAUUACAGAGAAUAAAAGUAUCCUUCAUAUACUAUGGAAUCAGGAUGCAAUUUCUAAAUUCCUGCCUUAGAACUUGAAAGAUAAAAGAAAACUGACCCCCAAAUAACUUCUCCGCUGAUUUAACAAGAACUUGACUAA
rnacentral:misc_RNA from 1 species